UGUCGGUUCCGCUGAAGCGGACUAGAGGGAACAUGGUGCGGCGCAAAAGCGCCAAGGCCAUGGCUGCCCCCGCAACUGUAAGCGGAGAGCGUUUUCCUGAUCGCCACUGAGGCAUGAGGCCUUGGGAAGGCUGGAGAGCGCAGCGACCCGUGAGCCAGGAAACCUGCCGACGGCC
rnacentral:ncRNA from 1 species